rnacentral:rRNA from 1 species
GACGAACGCUGGCGGCGUGCCUAAUACAUGCAAGUCGAACGAACCGCGACUAGGUGCUUGCACUUGGUCAAGGUGAGUGGCGAACGGGUGAGUAACACGUGGGUAACCUACCUCAUAGUGGGGGAUAACAGUCGGAAACGACUGCUAAUACCGCAUAGGACAUAGGAUCACAUGAUCCAGUGAGGAAAGGUGGCGCAAGCUAUCGCUAAGAGAUGGACCCGCGGUGCAUUAGCUAGUUGGUAGGGUAAAGGCCUACCAAGGCGAUGAUGCAUAGCCGACCUGAGAGGGUGAUCAGCCACAUUGGGACUGAGACACGGCCCAAACUCCUACGGGAGGCAGCAGUAGGGAAUCUUCCGCAAUGGACGCAAGUCUGACGGAGCAACGCCGCGUGAGUGAAGAAGGUCUUCGGAUCGUAAAGCUCUGUUGUUAGAGAAGAACAGCGCAUAGAGUAACUGUUAUGCGUGUGACGGUAUCUAACCAGAAAGCCACGGCUAACUACGUG